rnacentral:lncRNA from 1 species
GACAGGGAGCUUAAGAUGUAUAUAAGCACUAGAAAAAAUCUUCUAACCUUGAGUUGGUCUGGUGAGUUACUCUGACCUUCUCCUUGUAACUGGUUGCAGAAAUAAACUCCCUUCUUUCCCAGUCUGCCUGCAUCUCAUUAUUGGAUCACCAGGACAAGCAGCCAGGCCUCAUUCUGUCCGGGAGCAAAUCUGGUAACUCUCCCAGGAGAGCUCAGCAGCCAGCGGCUCGCAAAGAGGUAGUCUUUGGGUGACCCCCAGCAGCUGCCUGGUAUGGUUUGUCCUGGGGACUCUCCUGAGGACCUUUCUGGCUGCAAAGACUGCCCGUCUCUCUAUUACUGGGAAAGAAUAGAGAUUGGGAGCAGUUGCACUCAAAAGCCCUGCAGCUAGCUGUCCCAAGUAAACAACGCUCUUGGAGUAAAUUGGAAACUCACACAGCAUGGAAACCACAACCUUCUGGACAGACUGAAAGGAUGAAUCAAACACGAAAACAGUGCCAAACUGUGCCAACUAAAAUGGAUUCAGGUACUCAGCAUUGUACUGCUUUGGGUAAGUGACCCCUAGAAGUGGGAUGAGGUUAAAUCCCUAUAAAAUUAUAAAUGGGAGACCCUUUGCUGCUAAUCUGUCUUGGGUUACUUGGGUACCUCUUAAUAGAAAGCCAACUAUUAAACACUAUGCUACUCACUUGGGACAAAUACUUAAUGUUUUGCAUAAGCUUGCUUGCAACAGGAGUAUCGUAAACUCAGCGAAACUGUGUCACUUGUACCAGCCUGGUGAUCAAGUGCUGCUGAAAGAAUAAAGAGAAAUGAGCCCAAGUCAGCAGCUACAGGAGAAAUAGAAAGGGCCCCAUGACAUGCUGCUGACUACCAAUUUGGCAAUGAAACUGGCUGGCAUCAAGCCAUGGAUCCACCACAUGCCCGUGAAGAAGUUCCUGCCGGAGGAAACAUUCAUGACACAGGACACCAAGGCUGCCAAAUGGGAGACAGAACCCCUUGAAGGCCUAGGAUUUCUGUUCAAAAGAUGAUAAAGUAUUGUUUUACAUUGUUACAUUGCUGCUUUACAUUGCUGCUGUUUUACAUUGUUAUUUCUGCGUACCUCUAACCUUUUCCUACAAUGGGCAAAGGUUAUGCAAAUAGCUUACAGCAAGACUCUUGCUGGGUCUGUGCUCUAUUACCCCUCUCUGGCACCAUGGGGCUGCCUUGGUGCAUCCCCCACAUACAAGGAAAAAUUAGGUUUAUAAUAUCUUGAUUUUGUAGAACACCUUCCUGGUGGCAGAAAAUUCUUCUUGUCCUAGCUGCCUUCCUGGGCAUGAGCAUAAUACUAUGUUGUGAACUAUAUUAUUGUUAUAUGCUGUUCCAAAACAUUCCUCAGGCUCACAAGAUCAUGUCUUAUCAGGCGCUGCCUUUGAGUCUCUAAAGCCAGAAACAUUACCAGCACCAGAUAGACAUCUUCCACUCUAGCACCCCUUGAUGACAACCCUCUUCAGCAGGAAGUAGAUGGAGGGAAUGCAUACCCACUUUCCCUUAGUCGGCUAUGUCAUAGUUUACACUUUUGCACUAGCCUUUUAACAAACCAGUACUUGAAAAAAUUAACUAACAUGCUAGAAAUCACGUACAAAUUGACAGUGGGGAUUGUGGCAGGCCAGGUUUCCAUUAGCAACCAGAACAGUCAGUUUUCACUAAUCCUUUACUAUAACUCUGAUGAAUAUAUAAGUUAAACAUUAAAGAACUGGAGAAACUGGUCACUAAGUACAAUGGCUGGAAUGCAAAAACAAACCCAUUAAGACCCCAGACCCUAAUGAUUAGAUACAGAUUGAAAGAAACACUCCUGCUUGUAGGUGCACUCCCACACAUAGGCAGAGAGCUUAAAAUGUGUAUAUGCACUAGAAAAAAUAUUGUAACUGCGUUGGUCUGAUGAGUUACUCUGACCUUCUCCUUGUAACUGGUUGCAAAAAUAAACUUUCUUUUUCCCCA